CUUCAACGAGCCCAGCCACAGCGGCUGCUCGCGCUCCUGCCCGUAGGUCGCCAGCAGGGCCUGGGCCUC
rfam:Streptomyces rubellomurinus strain ATCC 31215 contig-59, whole genome shotgun sequence.